AUCUAGAUGACCAGCCCUGAAUAGGACGAAACGCGCGUCCUGGAU
rnacentral:hammerhead_ribozyme from 1 species